rnacentral:rRNA from 1 species
AUGGGAACGCGAAGAACCUUACCUACUCUUGACAUCCAGAGAACUUUCCAGAGAUGGAUUGGUGCCUUCGGGAACGUCUGAGACAGGUGCUGCAUGGCUGUCGUCAGCUCGUGUUGUGAAUGUUGGUUAAGUCCCGCAACGAGCGCGAACCCUUAUCCUUUGUUGCCAGCGGUUAGGCCGGGAACUCAAAGGAGACUGCCAGUGAUAAACCGGAGGAAGGUGGGGAUGACGUCAAGUCAUCAUGGCCCUUACGAGUAGGGCUACACACGUGCUACAAUGGCGCAUACAAAGAGAAGCGACCUCGCGAGAGCAAGCGGACCUCAUAAAGUGCGUCGUAGUCCGGAUUGGAGUCUGCAACUCGACUCCAUGAAGUCGGAAUCGCCAGUAAUCGUAGAUCAGAAUGCUACGGUGAAUACGUUCCCGGGUCUUGUACACACCGAGUCGUGGGA